AAAUAACAUUCGUGAAUUUUUUCGCGGAUUUGAGUUUUCCAGCAUUUUAUAAUAUAAAAAAUGUUGGUAACUUUAAAAUUAUUACUACUUGGUACAAGUUGAAAACGUGCUAUAUUGAUGGUUCGCUGACAACUUGUCCACCUUUAUAUAUUAUGCGCGCACUUGGGUUUUACGCUCUGUGCGAGUAUAUAUUUUU
rnacentral:misc_RNA from 1 species